rnacentral:rRNA from 1 species
UACGAAGGGGGCUAGCGUUGUUCGGAAUUACUGGGCGUAAAGCGUGCGCAGGCGGCUGCUCAAGUCAGGGGUGAAAGCCCAGAGCUCAACUCUGGAAUUGCCUUCGAAACUGAGUAGCUAGAGUACUAAAGAGGGUCGCGGAAUUCCCGGUGUAGAGGUGAAAUUCGUAGAUAUCGGGAGGAACACCGGUGGCGAAGGCGGCGACCUGGGUAGAUACUGACGCUGAGGCGCGAAAGCGUGGGGAGCAAACAGG